GGGUGUGGCUCAGUGGUAGAGUGCCCGCCCAGCGUGCAACAGGCCCUGGGUUCCAUUCUCAGCAACACA
rnacentral:tRNA from 1 species